GAUGAACGCUGGCGGCGUGCCUAAUACAUGCAAGUCGAGCGAACGGACGAGAAGCUUGCUUCUCUGAUGUUAGCGGCGGACGGGUGAGUAACACGUGGAUAACCUACCUAUAAGACUGGGAUAACGUCGGGAAACCGGAGCUAAGACCGGAUGAUAUUUUGAACCUCAUUGUUCAAAAGUUAAAGACGGUCUUGCUGUCACUUAUAGAUGGAUCCGCGCUGCAUUAGCUAGUUGGUAAGGUAACGGCUUACCAAGGCAACGAUGCAUAGCCGACCUGAGAGGGUGAUCGGCCACACUGGAACUGAGACACGGUCCAGACUCCUACGGGAGGCAGCAGUAGGGAAUCUUCCGCAAUGGGCGAAAGCCUGACGGAGCAACGCCGCGUGAGUGAUGAAGGUCUUCGGAUCGUAAAACUCUGUUAUUAGGGAAGAACAUAUGUGUAAGUAACUGUGCACAUCUUGACGGUACCUAAUCAGAAAGCCACGGCUAACUACGUG
rnacentral:rRNA from 1 species